UCGACCUGAGAUCAGAUAAGAUUACCCGCCGAAUUUAAGCAUAUUAAUAAGCGGAGGAAAAGAAAACAACUGUGAUUCCCCUAGUAAUGGCGAAUGAAACGGGAUCAGCCCAUCGCGUAACUGCAGGUCAUCUUGGCCUCGUGGCAUGUCGCGUUUGGGAUAGUCUCAUCGGGAGCCGGUCUGCCAGUCAAAGUCCAACUUGACAGUGGCCACUGCCCACAGAGGGUGAUAGGCCUGUAAGGCGGCGGUCCGCUCCUGCCGACUUUUCCCCAGAGUCGGGUUGCUUGGGAGUGCAGCCCAAAGUGCGAGGUAAACUCCUCGUAAGGCUAAAUACGACCCCGAGACCGAUAGCAAACAAGUACCGUGAGGGAAAAUUGAAAAGAACUUUGAAGAGAGAGUUCAAUAGUACGUGAAACUGUGUGGUGGUAAACGGAGGGGUUCUCGAAGUCUCCGUGGGGUACUCAACCUUGGUGGUGGGCAGCUGGGCUAAGUGCAAUCUGCAAGGAUGCCUUGACUCACGUGCAGCCUGCCUCUCGGGUGCAUUUCCCCCGCGGUUCACGGCAGGAACCGUUGCGACCGGACCGAAGGCCCCGUGUGAAGUUGUCGCUUAUGGUGGCAGCCCUGGGUGUCCUGGCUCUGGCUGUGACGGGUACGUGAGAGGUCUCGUAUAGCGAGCAACGCUCU
rnacentral:rRNA from 1 species